UCGCGAGCACCACACGCACCCAGGCAGCCCGGAUUUGUGAAAAUGGCGGUGUAAAAUCGACUCCCCUCCCACCGCUUUGAUUUAGUACAACUAAUUAAGUUCACCUGCCAACAGUCCCUUCAUGUUGCUUCUGGUUUUGGACGACUUUAUGGAGGAAAUAAGUAGGUAGGCCUAUGUUUUACCUGUAACGUCGAUUCCCUCGGCGGGCGGCGGUUGGCCAUCAAACUGCGCACUUCUACCGGAGUGCUUUCCUGUCCUACUGUGGGAGCUUUGGGAACAGCACCGACUCCUGUCCAGCAAGAUGCACCUGAGACUACCACAGCAUCACUCCAUAUAGGCCUAUAGCCUACAGAACGCUGUUGAGAGUUGCUGGGGCAUUGCCGAACUCUAUUCCCCUCCUGCUAAGGCAGCUGUUUAGAGGCCCUCAUCAAUAAGAGAGAACUGUAAGGAAACCAGCAUGAAAAGCACGGCCUCUCCCUCCCCUCCCGAUCCCACAAUAACACCCACGGCCCAAUCUGAGGCGCAGUAACGUAGUGAUACCCAACUCUGGUCCCACCCAGUAACCGGCUCUUUGUUGAAGGAUGGCACAGGCAGAAUUCAGGUGCUGAGAAGAAGGGAGACAACCGGCUGGAUAUCCGAUUCCUCGUUGGCCUUCUUCAACAUGCUGAACCAAUCCUCCAGAUUCUCAAAGCUCUGGUAGUUGGUGAUAUCGUAAACCAGAAGAACCCCCUGCAUUGGAAAAACAAAAAGGAACAACACAGUCCUCAGACGUUGAUUUGAGCUGCUCACCUUCACAUUCCCUGGAUAGGGAAGGAUGCCGCUGCAACAUGAGGGAUGGAGAGGAAUUUGCACCUGGGCCACUUUGAAGCAGGUGGCAGUGACUGUCAGGCUACAGCAUCCCACAGACGGCGUUAAGUGUCUGUAGGGGAUGUGGCCAAAGAUGGAUGGCUGAUUUACGGCAGCUCCCUGCUGACCCCGACUUAACAUCCAGGCUGUUAAUGCAGACAGAAUAACAGGGCGCAGUGACAUGGGCCUCCUUAACCCCGGGAAUACUCCUCUCCUUGUGUUGACAUGCAGCCCUAUAGGUUGCCCUGUCCGGGAAUCACACAGCUAUUCAUCAUUGUUUGACAGGUGUGUUUGAGAAGAAAGACAUAGUGGCCUAGAUGACAUCAAUAAGGUCUGAGUGUAUAGCACGAACAUCAUGAGGAAGUUUAGGUAUUUAGGGGGAAACAGCUACAGUUUCGAUAAUAAUAAAAACCCCAUUUUACCCGCGAAAAUGCGCAAAAUAAAGCUGGUGCCUAAAAGAAA